CGAGGCUCCACAGCAAGGCAUUCACGAUCUUUCCAAGAAAAAAAAAAACACCUGGAGCCAGAAGAAAAAUCCACGUAGGAUGGUCAAUCGUUUUCCCUUUUUGUAUCGGUAUUUUUUGAGUUUAUUUCCAAGAUCUGCAGUUAAUAGGCCAACACAAUCAAAUAAUAUAUUUAGUUCCAUAAUUAGGACUCGUAAAUGUAAUAACAAUCGAUUUUAUUUUUUU